CAUAUUAUCGCCCCGACGAGGUAUGCCUACAUAGAUAUCGCUGCAAUCACAAACCGGUUCAGAGACAAGCUGGGCCAUGGAGGUUUUGGCGCCAUGUUUAAGGGUGUACUGGCUUAUGAUGUUCAUGUGGCCGUCAAGAUGUUGAACUCUUGCUCCAGCUGCAAUGGAGAUGACUUCAUCAGUGAGGUUUCCACCAUCAGCACGAUCCACCACGUCAAUGUGGUGCAUCUAGUUGGGUUCUGCUAAGAGGAAAUUGGAAGAGCGUCGGUUUACGAGUACAUGCCAUGAGGUUCCCUCGACAAGUACAUCUUCUCGGCCGAGAAGACUUUCUCUUGGGACAAGCUCGAUGAGAUCGCUUUGGGCAUUUCCAGGGGUAUCAACUACCUGCAUCAGGGCUGUGACAUGCAGAUUCUCCACUUUGACGUCAAGCUGCACAACAUCAUGCUCGACAAUAAUUUCAUCCCCAAUGUUGCUGAUUUCGGCCUUGCUAAACUGUACCCAAGGGACAACAACUUUGUGCCCUCCAACGCCUUACCGAGACAGUUGGGUACAUAG
rnacentral:rRNA from 1 species